rnacentral:rRNA from 1 species
UCUAAGUCAGAAUCCAUGCCGGAGGGGAGGACGUAUCGUCCCGCACCUGUGAAUGGAGUACAGAUAGAGCGCUACGCUCGUGAACCAGAUCGGGUGGGCUAGGCGCGUCGGGCGGAAAAGCCUGGCGAGCUCGUCCACGAAUUGCAAUCAUGAUAUGUGCGGGGGUGAAUCCUUUGCAGACGACUUGAAUGGGAACGGGGUACUGUAAGCGGUAGAGUAGCCUUGUCGCUACGAUCCGCUGAGGUUAAGCCCUCGUUCUACGGAUUUGUUC